GCGAAAACUCUGCAAUGCGCGAAAGCGUGACAGGGGGAAUCCAAGUGUAUUUGUAAAACAAGUACUCUUGUAGUAUGUAAAAAGCACUGCGAAUAAGGGGUGGGCAAGACUAGUGCCAGCCUCCGCGGUAACACUAGCAACCCGAGUGGUAGUCGUUUUUAUUUGGCUUAAAGCGUCCGUAGUCAGGCCGUUAAGUCUUCUGUGAAAUCCUGCGGCUUAACCGUAGGGCUUGCAGAGGAUACUGGCGGUCUUGGAGCCGGGAGAGGUUAGGGGUAUUUCUGGGGUAGCGGCGAAAUGCUAUAAUCCUGGAAGGACCACCGAUAGCGAAGGCACCUAACUAGAACGGGCUCGACGAUGAGGGACGAGAGCUAGGGGAGCAAACCGGAUUAGAUACCCGGGUAGUCCUAGCCGUAAACGAUGCAGGCUGAGUGUCUCCUGAACUUCGAGUUCAGGAGGUGCUGAAGGGAAACCGUUAAGCCUGCCGCCUGGGGAGUACGGUCGCAAGGCUGAAACU
rnacentral:rRNA from 1 species